GGCCCCAAAUUUCAAGUAUAGUAGAUUAGUAUGGUCAACUGAUCCUACCAAUCUACUCUACUUCAAAUUAGGGCCC
rfam:Haemonchus placei strain MHpl1 genome assembly, scaffold: HPLM_scaffold0000585